rnacentral:rRNA from 1 species
GGCACUACGGUGCUGAAGCAACAAAUGCCCUGCUUCCAGGAAAAGCCUCUAAGCAUCAGGUAACAUCAAAUCGUACCCCAAACCGACACAGGUGGUCAGGUAGAGAAUACCAAGGCGCUUGAGAGAACUCGGGUGAAGGAACUAGGCAAAAUGGUGCCGUAACUUCGGGAGAAGGCACGCUGACACGUAGGUGAAGUGAUUUACUCAUGGAGCUGAAGUCAGUCGAAGAUACCAGCUGGCUGCAACUGUUUAUUAAAAACACAGCACUGUGCAAACACGAAAGUGGACGUAUACGGUGUGACGCCUGCCCGGUGCCGGAAGGUUAAUUGAUGGGGUCAGCGCAAGCGAAGCUCCUGAUCGAAGCCCCGGUAAACGGCGGCCGUAACUAUAACGGUCCUAAGGUAGCGAAAUUCCUUGUCGGGUAAGUUCCGACCUGCACGAAUGGCGUAAUGAUGGCCAGGCUGUCUCCACCCGAGACUCAGUGAAAUUGAACUCGCUGUGAAGAUGCAGUGUACCCGCGGCAAGACGGAAAGACCCCGUGAACCUUUACUAUAGCUUGACACUGAACAUUGAGCCUUGAUGUGUAGGAUAGGUGGGAGGCUUUGAAGUGUGGACGCCAGUCUGCAUGGAGCCGGCCUUGAAAUACCACCCUUUAAUGUUUGAUGUUCUAACGUGGACCCGUGAUCCGGGUUGCGGACAGUGUCUGGUGGGUAGUUUGACUGGGGCGGUCUCCUCCUAAAGAGUAACGGAGGAGCACGAAGGUUGGCUAAUCCUGGUCGGACAUCAGGAGGUUAGUGCAAUGGCAUAAGCCAGCUUGACUGCGAGCGUGACGGCGCGAGCAGGUGCGAAAGCAGGUCAUAGUGAUCCGGUGGUUCUGAAUGGAAGGGCCAUCGCUCAACGGAUAAAAGGUACUCCGGGGAUAACAGGCUGAUACCGCCCAAGAGUUCAUAUCGACGGCGGUGUUUGGCACCUCGAUGUCGGCUCAUCACAUCCUGGGGCUGAAGUAGGUCCCAAGGGUAUGGCUGUUCGCCAUUUAAAGUGGUACGCGAGCUGGGUUUAGAACGUCGUGAGACAGUUCGGUCCCUAUCUGCCGUGGGCGCUGGAGAACUGAGGGGGGCUGCUCCUAGUACGAGAGGACCGGAGUGGACGCAUCACUGGUGUUCGGGUUGUCAUGCCAAUGGCACUGCCCGGUAGCUAAAUGCGGAAGAGAUAAGUGCUGAAAGCAUCUAAGCACGAAACUUGCCCCGAGAUGAGUUCUCCCUGAGACUUUAGGUCUCCUGAAGGAACGUUGAAGACGACGACGUUGAUAGGCCGGGUGUGUAAGCGCAGCGAUGCGUUGAGCUAACCGGUACUAAUGAACCGUGAGGCUUAACCUUACA